AACAAUAAAGACGAUUCUUCCAUUGUAAGAUCGUUUAUUUCGGAAUUUAUAGUUUAGAAUGUCGUAGGUCCGUUAAAUUUCGAGUGGAAUAAUUUCGUACAGUAGUCUAGUGCCUGAGAGCUUAAAUCCAAGAAUUGUUAAUAUAGUUACGACAUUUAUUAUUACAGGAUUGCUAGUUAUUUAGCAACAGAUAUACCACAAAUUACACACUCCAUCUGUCCUAGUUUGGAGUGCAAUAAGCUGUCCUCGGCGCCAGGUAGGUAUUAAUCCAUCAAUCGGCACAAAUUUUAGACCCGGAAAGUGGUGGAUGGACAAGAUAGACGAUGACCUAAGAAACAAGACUGACGAAGUAGCAAUGGUGUUUACAGAGGAGUGGCGAAAAAAUAGAAAAACGUCGAGGUCGUUAAUCCACGACCCAACCCAGGCUUCACUAUAUUAUUAAGGACGAAGAAUUUGUUCGUUGCAUCCAAUUGUUUACAUAUCACGCUUCGUUACCGUAAACGACACCGUCACAUAACACCCGAAAUCUUCCCGAAAUCAAACCCCUACAAGAUCCUCGUUUUGGAAAGUGGAAACGUCACUCGAUAUUUUCGAGUGAGCUCUGGUACACUGGAUGUACAGUACAUACACUAGAGUUGUCUUAAUCUUCUCUGUGGAACUUUGUCAACACAGAGGGUAAAGAACUGACGGAUGAUUCCUUUAAUCUAAUUUUAUGGUAAACAAGAAAGCCGCUCGUCUUAUUUUAAAAAAAAAAAAUGUUCUUCGUAAAUAAAA